UAAGGGAGCUACCAUUUGAUUUUUAUGGGGGGCUAGGAUGAAAUUUGAAAAAAAUAGGCAGGACAGGAGUUAUGAGUAAAAAAAAAGGCAGGAUGAGACACUUGCAAAAAAAAAGUCAGGAUAAACUAAAAAAAAAAAAGCAGGACCGAAUAGAGUGAAAAAUAAAAAGGCAGGACAGAGAUUACAACUAAAAAAAAAUGCAGGACAACAUUUUUCAUCCUAGCCCCCCCCCCCCCC
rnacentral:lncRNA from 1 species